GACGAACGCUGGCGGCGUGCUUAACACAUGCAAGUCGAACGGAGUGGCGAACGGGUGAGUAACACGUGGGUGACCUGCCCUGCACUUCGGGAUAAGCCUGGGAAACUGGGUCUAAUACCGGAUAGUGUGGGAUGGGCCCGAGGCCUAUCAGCUUGUUGGUGGGGUAAUGGCCUCCGAAGGCGGCGACGGGUAGCCGGCCUGGGAGGGUAGACGGGCAGAUAGGGACUGGGCCACGGACCAGGGUCAUACGGGGGGCAGCGGGGGGGAAUAUUGCACAAUGGGCGGAAGCCUGAUGCAGCGACGCCGCGUGGGGGAUGACGGCAUUCGGGUUGGAAACUCAUUUCACCAUCGACGCGGUAGAUGGAGAAGAAGCACCGGCUAACUACGUGCCAGCAGCCGCGGUAAUUC
rnacentral:rRNA from 1 species